GGCUGAAUGGCAGAGUGGUUAUGCAGCGGCCUGCAAAGCCGUGUACCUCGGUUCGAUUCCGGGUUCAGCCU
rnacentral:tRNA from 1 species